rnacentral:rRNA from 1 species
UACGGAGGGUGCAAGCGUUAUCCGGAUUCACUGGGUUUAAAGGGUGCGUAGGUGGGCAGUUAAGUCAGUGGUGAAAUCUCCGAGCUUAACUCGGAAACUGCCAUUGAUACUAUCUGUCUUGAAUAUCGUGGAGGUAAGCGGAAUAUGUCAUGUAGCGGUGAAAUGCUUAGAUAUGACAUAGGACACCAAUUGCGAAGGCAGCUUACUACCCGAAUAUUGACACUGAGGCACGAAAGCGUGGGGAUCAAACAGG